rnacentral:rRNA from 1 species
AUCGAUGAAGAACGCAGCGAAAUGCGAUAAGUAAUGUGAAUUGCAGAAUUCAGUGAAUCAUCGAAUCUUUGAACGCACCUUGCGCUCCUUGGUAUUCCGAGGAGCAUGCCUGUUUGAGUGUCAUUAAAUUCUCAACCUCAUUUAGCUUUUGUUGAAUGAGGCUUGGAUUGUGGGGGUUUGUGCGGGCUUUUCAAGUCGGCUCCCCUUAAAUGCAUUAGCGGAAAACCCUUGUGGACCGUCUUUGGUGUGAUAAUUAUCUACGCCAUCGCCGUAAGCAGCUAUAUAUAAUGGGAACUUCAGCUUCAAACCGUCCUUUACAGAGAGACAAUACUUAAUUGACAUUUUGACCUCAAAUCAGGUAGGACUACCCGCUGAACUUAAGCAUAUCAAUAAGCGGAGGAAAAGAAACUAACAAGGAUUCCCCUAGUAACUGCGAGUGAAGCGGGAAAAGCUCAAAUUUAAAAUCUGGCGGUCCUUGUGGCCGUCCGAGUUGUAAUCUAGAGAAGUGCUAUCCGCGCUGGACCGUGUACAAGUCUCCUGGAAUGGAGCGUCAUAGAGGGUGAGAAUCCCGUCUUUGACACGGACUACCAGGGCUUAUGUGAUGCGCUCUCGAAGAGUCGAGUUGUUUGGGAAUGCAGCUCAAAAUGGGUGGUAAAUUCCAUCUAAAGCUAAAUAUUGGCGAGAGACCGAUAGCGAACAAGUACCGUGAGGGAAAGAUGAAAAGAACUUUGGAAAGAGAGUUAAACAGUACGUGAAAUUGUUGAAAGGGAAACGCUUGAAGUCAGUCGCGUCGUCCGGGGAUCAACCUUGCAAUUUUUGCUAGGGCGCAUUUUCCGGUUGACGGGUCAACAUCAAUUUUGACCGUUGGAUAAAGGCUUUGGGAAUGUGGCAUCUUCGGAUGUGUUAUAGCCCUUGGUCGCAUACAACGGUUGGGAUUGAGGAACUCAGCACGCCGAAAGGCCGGGUUUUUAACCACGUUCGUGCUUAGGAUGUUGGCAUAAUGGCUUUAAUCGACCCGUCUUGAAACACGG